rnacentral:sRNA from 1 species
AUUUACUGGAUGAUUUCUUAACAGACUUUGAAGCAACACAAACUAUGGCCUUGGUUCACCAUGUUUUCGCUAAACUUGGUAUCCCAUUUUCAAAUAAGAAAACAAUGGGAUCAUCUACAGAACUAGAAUACCUUGGAAUUAUCUUGGAUACUGACAGGAUGGAGGCAAGGUUACCAGAAGAAAAAUUGAGUGUAGACUUGACUUGCACAUGUGGUCCAAAUUCCUGGAAGGAUGGAACUGACGAUUGUUUUGCUUGGACAAUGCUACCACAGAUGCCACCGAUCUACAUCUGUUCACAGACGCCACAGAUACGGCUUUUGGAGGAUUUUUUAAAAAUCAGUGGUUUCAAGGUUAUUUUCCCAAAGAACUGACCUCAGAAGACCAAUCUCUAUCAAUGGCUUUAUUCGAGCUAUAUCCUAUCGUCAUCGCGUCUGUGCUCUGUUGUUAGAAAAAUUCAUACAGAACAUAGAGCUUCCAUGGACAAUCAGACACUGUGUA